UCCGAUUUGUCACCGGCAGUCUCCCAUGAGUCCCCGACUUUACUCGCUGGCAACAUGGGACAGGGGUUGCGCUUGUUGCGGGACUUAACCCAACAUCUCACGACACGAGCUGACGACAGCCAUGCAGUACCUGUGCACGAGUCCCGAAGGAGGCCCCUGGUUUCUCAGGAGUUUCCCGUGCAUGUCAAGCCUAGGUAAGGUUCUUCGCGUUGCGUCGAAUUAAACCACCUGCUCCACCGCUUGUGCGGGCCCCCGUCAAUUCCUUUGAGUUUCAGCCUUGCGGCCGUACUCCCCAGGCGGGGCACUUAAUGCGUUAGCUUCGGCACGGAAGGAAUCGACACCUCCCACACCUAGCGCCCAUCGUUUACGGCGUGGACUAC
rnacentral:misc_RNA from 1 species